CUCCUCCUCCUUGCUAUUAUCACUCGAAAACUACCAACAAAUUCGAAGACAACAACAUGCAACACGGAUUUUGAGGUAUCUUGAGUUAGAUCUUAAAGGGAGAAUCAAGAAUUCAAGAUGCAAGAAUAUUGAGUUUAUUUUUUUUAUUUAUAUUGUAAUUUUUUUUAUAUGUUGUAAUUGAACUACUACUGUAUUGAUGUAUAUUGUAAAAUUGUUUUGAUUAUAUAUUGUAAAUUUUUGAUUA